rnacentral:rRNA from 1 species
GACGAACGCUGGCGGCGUGCUUAACACAUGCAAGUCGAACGGAAAGGCCCCUUUGGGGUUACUCGGUGGGGAAAGGGGGGGGUAACAGUGGAUUAACCUGCCCUGAACUUGGGGAAACCUUAGGGAACCUGGGGCUAAUACGGAAUGGGAAUCUUUGCGGCAGGGGGGGGGUGGGAAAGCUCGGCGGGUUUGGGUGGAAUCGCGGCUUAUCAGCUUGUUGGUGGGGUAGUGGCUUACCAAGGCUUUGACGGGUAGCCGGCCUGAGAGGGCGACCGGCCACAUUGGGACUGAGAUACGGCCCAGACUCCUACGGGAGGCAGCAGUGGGGAAUAUUGCACAAUGGGCGGAAGCCUGAUGCAGCAACGCCGCGUGCGGGAUGACGGCCUUCGGGUUGUAAACCGCUUUCAGCAGGGGCGAAGCUUGUGGUGACGGUACCUGCAGAAGAAGCACCGGCUAACUACGUG